AGUGAAGUGCCUGAAAAAAAGGAUUAUCUUGAUAGGGUAAAUCAUGUGAAAUUGACACCUUCAUUA
rnacentral:tRNA from 1 species